rnacentral:misc_RNA from 1 species
UACGUAGGUGGCAAGCGGUGUCCGGAAUUAUUGGGCGUAAAGCGCGCGCAGGCGGUCUCUUAAGUCUGAUGUGGAAGCCCACGGCUCAACCGUGGAGGGUCAUUGGAAACUGGGGGACUUGAGUACAGAAGAGGAGAGUGGAAUUCCACGUGUAGCGGUGAAAUGCGUAGAUAUGUGGAGGAACACCAGUGGCGAAGGCGACUCUCUGGUCUGUCACUGACGCUGAGGUGCGAAAGCGUGGGGAGCAAAACGG